UACGAAGGGGGCUAGCGUUGUUCGGAUUUACUGGGCGUAAAGCGCACGUAGGCGGACUAUUAAGUCAGGGGUGAAAUCCCGGGGCUCAACCCCGGAACUGCCUUUGAUACUGGUAGUCUUGAGUUCGAGAGAGGUGAGUGGAAUUCCGAGUGUAGAGGUGAAAUUCGUAGAUAUUCGGAGGAACACCAGUGGCGAAGGGCUGCUUCUAGCUAACGACUGA
rnacentral:rRNA from 1 species